UACGUAGGGUGCGAGCGUUGUCCGGAAUUAUUGGGCGUAAAGAGCUUGUAGGCGGUUUGUCGCGUCUGCCGUGAAAAUCCGGGGCUCAACCCCGGACUUGCGGUGGGUACGGGCAGACUAGGGUGUGGUAGGGGAGACUGGAAUUCCUGGUGUAGCGGUGAAAUGCGCAGAUAUCAGGAGGAACACCGAUGGCGAAGGCAGGUCUCUGGGCCACUACUGACGCUGAGAAGCGAAAGCGUGGGGAGCGAACAGG
rnacentral:rRNA from 1 species